AUCAGGUCAAGAGGAACAGAUGUAGAGCAGAGACCUAAUCAAGCUCCUAUAACCAAAGAAUGCCAUCUGAUGAUUGUUUGAUUUCCAAGCCUAGGAAAUAACUCAUCAAUCCAAGGGAAACUAUCAACACUACUUGCUCACCAGAUUUGAGUAUGUAAAGAGUUACCUCAUUGAAGCUUCUCACAAAGCCGUAAUUGGCUAAGUAAGCAUCGAUUCUGCUGU